UACAGAGGGUGCAAACGUUGCUCGGAAUUAUUGGGCGUAAAGCGCACGUAGGCGGUUCGUUAAGUCGGAUGUGAAAGCCCUAGGCUCAACCUAGGAAGUGCAUUCGAAACUGGCGAGCUUGAAUAUGGAAGGAGGUCGCGGAAUUCCCGGUGUAGAGGUGAAAUUCGUAGAUAUCGGGAGGAACACCAGUGGCGAAGGCGGCGACCUGGGCCAAUAUUUGACGCUGAGGUGCGAAAGCGUGGGGAGCAAACAGG
rnacentral:rRNA from 1 species